rnacentral:rRNA from 1 species
GAUCCAGACUCCUACGGGAGGCAGCAGUGGGGAAUAUUGCGCAAUGGGCGAAAGCCUGACGCAGCGACGCCGCGUGAGGGAUGAGGGUCUUCGGAUCGUAAACCUCUGUCAGCAGGGAAGAACGGUCACUGUGCUAAUCAGCAGUGAAUUGACGGUACCUGCAAAGGAAGCACCGGCUAACUCCGUGCCAGCAGCCGCGGUAAUACGGAGGGUGCGAGCGUUAAUCGGAAUUACUGGGCGUAAAGCGCUCGUAGGCGGUAUGUCAAGUCAAGGGUGAAAUCCCCGCGCUCAACGUGGGAACUGCCUUUGAAACUGUAGAGCUUGAGUGUCGGAGAGGGUGGCGGAAUUCCAGGUGUAGGAGUGAAAUCCGUAGAUAUCUGGAGGAACACCGGUGGCGAAGGCGGCCACCUGGACGACAACUGACGCUGAGGUGCGAAAGCGUGGGUAGCAAACAGGAUUAGAUACCCGGGUAC